AAUUACCUGAGAUUUGCUACGCUGAGCUCUGGCAGUGUCCGCUACCGCUACAGCUACAGUUCUGACCAGGCCCUCAGGACUUCAGCUCUUCUUGUUCUGCUGCCCGCUUCUUGCUUCUUAACGAUCCUGAGCUCUGAGAGAAGAGUUGUGAUGGAGACCUAGAAUUUUGACUCUCUCUCCACGUAAUGUCCACACAAUGUCUGGCUGUGGAUCUCCGCAUCUGUUCCCAUCUGCUGCCAGAGGAAGCCUCUCUGAUGAUGACUGGAAAAGCGUCACGUAAAUUAGGCCUGGUGGUUAACCCCAACAUUUGGAAAGCGGACACCAGAAAACCAGCAGUUCGAGGCUGUUCUUCCAUAUGGAUUGGGUUUGAGAAUCAACCUGGCUAACAAGAGAGCCUGUCUCAGAAAGAAAUGGAUGAAUGAAUUGGUAAAU